rnacentral:rRNA from 1 species
GACGAACGCUGGCGGCGUGCUUAACACAUGCAAGUCGAACGGUGACCCUCGGAGCUUGCUUCGGGGUGAGCAGUGGCGAACGGGUGAGUAACACGUGAGUAACCUGCCCCUGACUCUGGAAUAAGCGCUGGAAACGGCGUCUAAUACCGGAUACGACACGCCUCCGCAUGGGGAGCGUGUGGAAAGUUUUUCGGUCUGGGUUGGACUCGCGGCCUAUCAGCUUGUUGGUGAGGUAAUGGCUCACCAAGGCGAUGACGGGUAGCCGGCCUGAGAGGGCGACCGGCCACACUGGGACUGAGACACGGCCCAGACUCCUACGGGAGGCAGCAGUGGGGAAUAUUGCACGAUGGGCGAAAGCCUGAUGCAGCGACGCCGCGUGAGGGAUGACGGCCUUCGGGUUGUAAACCUCUUUCAGCAGGGAAGAAGCGAAAGUGACGGUACCUGCAGAAGAAGCACCGGCUAACUACGUGCCAGCCGCCGCCGUAAGAC